UAAUACGUAGGGGGCUAGCGUUGUCCGGAUUUAUUGGGCGUAAAGAGCGUGUAGGCGGCCGAGUAAGUCCGGUGUGAAAACUCGAGGCUUAACCUCGAGAUGUCAUCGGAAACUAUUCGGCUAGAGUCCGGAAGAGGAGAGUGGAAUUCCUGGUGUAGCGGUGAAAUGCGCAGAUAUCAGGAAGAACACCUAUGGCGAAAGCAGCUCUCUGGGACGGUACUGACGCUGAGACGCGAAAGCGUGGGGAGCGAACAGGAUUAGAUACCCUGGUAGUCCACG
rnacentral:rRNA from 1 species